rnacentral:rRNA from 1 species
AUUGAACGCUGGCGGCAGGCCUAACACAUGCAAGUCGAGCGGAUGAAGGGAGCUGGCUGCUGGAUUCAACGGCGGACGGGAACGUAAUGCCUAGGAAUCUGCAAGGUAGCGGGGGGUAACGUCCGGAAAUUGGCACUAAUAGCGCAUACGUGCUGACGGAGUUUGUGGGGGAUCUUCGGAUCACAAGCUAGUAAUUCAGACUAGGUGGGAUUAGCUUGUUGGUGGGGUAAAGGCCCACCAAGGCGACGAUGCAUAACUGGUCUGAGAGGAUGAUCGGUCACACUGGAACUGAGACACGGUCCAGACUCCUACGGGAGGCAGCAGUAGGGAAUCUUGGGCAAUGGGCGAAAGCCUGAUCCAGCAACGCCGCGUGUGUGAAGAAGGUUUUCGGAUUGUAAAGCUCUGUUGGUUGGGAGGAAGGGCAGUAUGGUAAUACCACACUUAAGUGACGGUACCAACAGAAUAAGCAACGGCUAACUACGUG